GAUGAACGCUGGCGGCGUGCCUAAUACAUGCAAGUCGAGCGAACAGACGAGGAGCUUGCUCCUCUGAUGUUAGCGGCGGACGGGUGAGUAACACGUGGAUAACCUACCUAUAAGACUGGGAUAACUUCGGGAAACCGGAGCUAAUACCGGAUAACAUGUUGAACCGCAUGGUUCAACAGUGAAAGACGGUCCUGCUGUCACUUAUAGAUGGAUCCGCGCCGCAUUAGCUAGUUGGUAGGUAACGGCUUACCAAGGCAACGAUGCGUAGCCGACCUGAGAGGGUGAUCGGCCACACUGGAACUGAGACACGGUCCAGACUCCUACGGGAGGCAGCAGUAGGGAAUCUUCCGCAAUGGGCGAAAGCCUGACGGAGCAACGCCGCGUGAGUGAAGAAGGUCUUCGGAUCGUAAAACUCUGUUAUUAGGGAAGAACAAAUGUGUAAGUAACUAUGCACGUCUUGACGGUACCUAAUCAGAAAGCCACGGCUAACUACGUG
rnacentral:rRNA from 1 species